rnacentral:rRNA from 1 species
GAUGAACGCUGGCGGCGUGCCUAAUACAUGCAAGUCGAGCGAAGCGGGGACGGGUGAGUAACACGUGUAUAACCCCCUAUAAGACUGGGAUAACUUCGGGAAACCGGAGCCUAACCGGAAACUUAUAGAUGGAUCCGCGCCGCAUUAGCUAGUAGGUAAGGUAACGGCUUACCAAGGCCACGACGCGUAGCCGGCCUGAGAGGGUGAUCGGCCACACUGGAACUGAGACACGGUCCAGACUCCUACGGGAGGCAGCAGUGGGGAAUCUUCCGCAAUGGGCGCAAGCCUGACGGAGCAACGCCGCGUGAGUGAUGAAGGUCUUCGGGUCGUAAAGCUCUGUUAUUAGGGAAGCGGUACCUAAUCAGAAAGCCACGGCUAACUACGUGCCAGCAGCCGCGGUAAUUC